AAUUAAGGUAGGUCUUGAUGUAAAGAUAGAUUGACUCAAAACUUGCCUUGCUGUUAUGGUGAUAAAUUCUAUCCAGUAGUGAAGAUUGCAUUUGUUAGCCUAUUUAUCUUUAUACUCGAAGGUGACUAUAUAAAGCAACCUCCAGAGUUUGUUGCUCAAGGGAAUUUGGCUUAGUCUAUUGACUACAUUGGUCUUUUAAUGAUCUAAAACAAUCCUCAAGAGCAUGGUUUAGUCACUUUUGUACUAUUGUCCAAUAGUUUGGAAUGCUUUGAAAUAAGGCAGAUCAUUCAGUGUUUUACCAACAUACUCCUCAUGGCAAAUGUACUUACUUGAUAGUUUAUUUUGAUGAAAUUGUCAUAACAGGUGAAAUCAUGAGGUAUUUCUUAAAAUCAUCUCAUCAAUCAUUCCAAACGAAGGACUUGGGAAAAUUAAGUAUUUUAUUAGUAUUGAGGUAGCACAAUCCAGCAUGGGUAUUGCCAUAAUGCCAUCUGAUAUAGGAAAUAUGCAUUAGACAUACUUGAAGACUGAUAUGUUAAAUUGCAAAUGCAUUGAAACUCCUAUGGAUCUUGCUGGAAUCCUAUUAGGAUUUGUAUUUUAUUUGUAAUUAUCUUCUUCCUUUUUUAUUAGUCUCUUAAUGUAUCCUGGUUUCCUAGUGUAUCUAGAAUUCUUGUAUAUAAAUAGGGAAAAGCGUACAUAGAUAAACAAUAGAAAUAUAGAGUUUUUCUCUUCAGAAGUACCUAUUUCAUCAUGGUAUCAGAGCUCUGCCAUCAAUUCUAGGUGUGAGUUUUCUCUUUUAUGCAAGCAGUGUUAGGGUUGCUAGGGUAAGCUUUUAGGCACUAACCACCAAGGAGUUGUACAAUACCACCCCUGCCAGAGGAAAGAGCAUCUGCCGAUCAGCCUGUGCCUAGAAAAUCAUCGCCGUUCGACAUCGUGGGUGGCCACACAUGCUGCCACAAGUGCUACGGCUGAUCCCAUGCACCAACACGUGUCACCUUUUCCGAGAGUUUUUUCCGGCUGCCUUCUUCUUCGACAACCUUCCUAGGGUUCUGCACCUCUGCCCAGUGGGUUUCCCAUCUUGGUAUUUGCACAUUUGAUUCUUAGGUUUAUUCUUUUCCCUCUCUUGCUACUGUGGCCGUUUUUUUUUGUUAUUGCUUUUGCUAUUUUUUUUUUUGGCUUGAUUCUUCAAUAUGGGCGAUGGAAAAAAAAAUCUAUUGAAACCAAGAUGAGUCCUAUGAGUGAUAACUCGUCAUUACAAAUUAACCCCGUAAAGCUUGAUGGUACAAAUUGUCUUAUACGGUUGAGAUCAUGUUCAAGCUAGAGGGCUAUAGGGAUACAUAAUUGGAGAAAAAACCAAACCAAAAGUUGGUAGUUCUGCUCAUAGUCAAUGGCGAUCAGAGAAUUCUUUUGCGAUGUCCUAGCUAAUUAAUUCAAUG
rnacentral:misc_RNA from 1 species